GCACGGGUGAGUAACACGUGACUAACCUACCCUGGAGUGGGGGAUAACUGAGGGAAACCUUAGCUAAUACCGCAUAACACCUACGGGUCAAAGGAGCAAUUCGCUUCAGGAGGGGGUCGCGGCGAUUUAGUUAGUUGGCGGGGUAAUGGCCCACCAAGACAGUGAUCGGUAUCCGGCCUGAGAGGGCGCACGGACACACUGGAACUGAAACACGGUCCAGACUCCUACGGGAGGCAGCAGUGGGGAAUUUUGCGCAAUGGGGGAAACCCUGACGCAGCAACGCCGCGUGGAGGAUGAAGUACUUCGGUACGUAAACUCCUUUCGAUCGGGACGAUAAUGACGGUACCGGAAGAAGAAGCCCCGGCUAACUUCGUGCCAGCAGCCGCGGUAAUACGAGGGGGGCAAGCGUUGUUCGGAAUUAUUGGGCGUAAAGGGUGCGUAGGCGGUUUGGUAAGUCUUGUGUGAAAUCUCCGGGCUCAACUCGGAGUCUGCAUAGGAAACUGCCGGGCUUGAGUGUGGGAGAGGUGAGUGGAAUUUCCGGUGUAGCGGUGAAAUGCGUAGAUAUCGGAAGGAACACCUGUG
rnacentral:rRNA from 1 species